rnacentral:rRNA from 1 species
UACGGGGGGAGCAAGCGUUGUUCGGAUUUACUGGGCGUAAAGGGCGCGUAGGCGGUCAGCACAAGUCAGUUGUGAAAUCUCCGAGCUUAACUCGGAACGGUCAACUGAUACUGUGCGACUAGAGUGCGGAAGGGGCAACUGGAAUUCUCGGUGUAGCGGUGAAAUGCGUAGAUAUCGAGAGGAACACCUGCGGCGAAGGCGGGUUGCUGGGCCGACACUGACGCUGAUGCGCGAAAGCCAGGGGAGCGAGCGGG